rnacentral:rRNA from 1 species
GACGAACGCUGGCGGCGUGCUUAACACAUGCAAGUCGAACGGAAAGGCCCUGCUUUUGUGGGGUGCUCGAGUGGCGAACGGGUGAUUAACACGUGAGUAACCUGCCCUUGACUUUGGGAUAACUUCAGGAAACUGGGGCUAAUACCGGAUAGGAGCUCCUGCUGCAUGGUGGGGGUUGGAAAGUUUCGGCGGUUGGGGAUGGACUCGCGGCUUAUCAGCUUGUUGGUGGGGUAGUGGCUUACCAAGGCUUUGACGGGUAGCCGGCCUGAGAGGGUGACCGGCCACAUUGGGACUGAGAUACGGCCCAGACUCCUACGGGAGGCAGCAGUGGGGAAUAUUGCACAAUGGGCGGAAGCCUGAUGCAGCAACGCCGCGUGCGGGAUGACGGACUUCGGGUUGUAAACCGCUUUCGCCUGUGACGAAGCGUGAGUGACGGUAAUGGGUAAAGAAGCACCGGCUAACUACGUG